ACAAGCGGUGGAGUAUGUGGUUAAUUCGAUGCAACGCGAAGAACCUUACCUGGUCUUGACAUCCCGGAGACCCUUAGGAAACUAGGGGGUGCUUCCAUCUGGAAGAAUCUGGAGACAGGUGCUGCAUGGCUGUCGUCAGCUCGUGCCGUGAGAUGUUGGGUUAAGUCCCGCAACGAGCGCAACCCUUGCCUUUAGUUGCCAGCAGUUCGGCUGGGCACUCUAAAGGGGCUGCCGGUGUUAAACCGGAGGAAGGUGGGGAUGACGUCAAGUCCUCAUGGCCUUUAUGACCAGGGCUACACACGUACUACAAUGGCCGAUACAAAGGGCAGCGACACUGCGAGGUGAAGCCAAUCCCGUAAAAUCGGUCUCAGUCCGGAUCGGAGUCUGCAACUCGACUCCAUGAAGUUGGAAUCGCUAGUAAUCGUGGAUCAGCAUGCCACGGUGAAUACGUUCCCGGGCCUU
rnacentral:rRNA from 1 species